UACGGAGGGGGCGAGCGUUAUUCGGAAUUAUUGGGCGUAAAGGGCGCGUAGGCGGCUGUACAAGUCAAAGGUGAAAUCCCUCGGCUCAACUGAGGAACUGCCUUUGAAACUGUACGGCUUGAGGCCGGGAGGGGUAGCGGAAUUCCCAGUGUAGCGGUGAAAUGCGUAGAUACUGGGGAGGAACACCAGUCGGCGAAGGCGCUACCUGGACCGGUUCUGACGCUGAGGCGCGAAAAGCGUGGGUAGCAAACAGGA
rnacentral:rRNA from 1 species